rnacentral:pre_miRNA from 1 species
UUUUAAGAAUGAGCAAAGAAAGUAGUUUCUUGAAAGGGAGUCUACUCCUGGUGAAGAUGCUGUGAA